UUAAGUUAUUAAGGGCGCACGGUGGAUGCCUUGGCACUAGAAGCCGAUGAAGGACGUUACUAACGACGAUAUGCUUUGGGGAGCUGUAAGUAAGCUUUGAUCCAGAGAUUUCCGAAUGGGGAAACCCAGCAUGAGUUAUGUCAUGUUAUCGAUAUGUGAAUACAUAGCAUAUCAGAAGGCACACCCGGAGAACUGAAACAUCUUAGUACCCGGAGGAAGAGAAAGAAAAUUCGAUUCCCUUAGUAGCGGCGAGCGAAACGGGAAGAGCCCAAACCAACAAGCUUGCUUGUUGGGGUUGUAGGACACUCUAUACGGAGUUACAAAGGAUGACAUUAGACGAAUCAUCUGGAAAGAUGAAUCAAAGAAGGUAAUAAUCCUGUAGUCGAAAAUGUUGUCUCUCUUGAGUGGAUCCUGAGUACGACGGAGCACGUGAAAUUCCGUCGGAAUCUGGGAGGACCAUCUCCUAAGGCUAAAUACUCUCUAGUGACCGAUAGUGAACCAGUACCGUGAGGGAAAGGUGAAAAGCACCCCGGAAGGGGAGUGAAAUAGAACCUGAAACCGUGUGCUUACAAGUAGUCAGAGCCCGUUAAUGGGUGAUGGCGUGCCUUUUGUAGAAUGAACCGGCGAGUUACGAUUUGAUGCAAGGUUAAGCAGUAAAUGUGGAGCCGUAGCGAAAGCGAGUCUGAAUAGGGCGUUUAGUAUUUGGUCGUAGACCCGAAACCAGGUGAUCUACCCUUGGUCAGGUUGAAGUUCAGGUAACACUGAAUGGAGGACCGAACCGACUUACGUUGAAAAGUGAGCGGAUGAACUGAGGGUAGCGGAGAAAUUCCAAUCGAACCUGGAGAUAGCUGGUUCUCUCCGAAAUAGCUUUAGGGCUAGCCUCAAGUGAUGAUUAUUGGAGGUAGAGCACUGUUUGGACGAGGGGCCCCUCUCGGGUUACCGAAUUCAGACAAACUCCGAAUGCCAAUUAAUUUAACUUGGGAGUCAGAACAUGGGUGAUAAGGUCCGUGUUCGAAAGGGAAACAGCCCAGACCACCAGCUAAGGUCCCAAAAUAUAUGUUAAGUGGAAAAGGAUGUGGCGUUGCCCAGACAACUAGGAUGUUGGCUUAGAAGCAGCCAUCAUUUAAAGAGUGCGUAAUAGCUCACUAGUCGAGUGACACUGCGCCGAAAAUGUACCGGGGCUAAACAUAUUACCGAAGCUGUGGAUUGUCCUUUGGACAAUGGUAGGAGAGCGUUCUAAGGGCGUUGAAGCAUGAUCGUAAGGACAUGUGGAGCGCUUAGAAGUGAGAAUGCCGGUGUGAGUAGCGAAAGACGGGUGAGAAUCCCGUCCACCGAUUGACUAAGGUUUCCAGAGGAAGGCUCGUCCGCUCUGGGUUAGUCGGGUCCUAAGCUGAGGCCGACAGGCGUAGGCGAUGGAUAACAGGUUGAUAUUCCUGUACCACCUAUAAUCGUUUUAAUCGAUGGGGGGACGCAGUAGGAUAGGCGAAGCGUGCGAUUGGAUUGCACGUCUAAGCAGUAAGGCUGAGUAUUAGGCAAAUCCGGUACUCGUUAAGGCUGAGCUGUGAUGGGGAGAAGACAUUGUGUCUUCGAGUCGUUGAUUUCACACUGCCGAGAAAAGCCUCUAGAUAGAAAAUAGGUGCCCGUACCGCAAACCGACACAGGUAGUCAAGAUGAGAAUUCUAAGGUGAGCGAGCGAACUCUCGUUAAGGAACUCGGCAAAAUGACCCCGUAACUUCGGGAGAAGGGGUGCUCUUUAGGGUUAACGCCCAGAAGAGCCGCAGUGAAUAGGCCCAAGCGACUGUUUAUCAAAAACACAGGUCUCUGCUAAACCGUAAGGUGAUGUAUAGGGGCUGACGCCUGCCCGGUGCUGGAAGGUUAAGAGGAGUGGUUAGCUUCUGCGAAGCUACGAAUCGAAGCCCCAGUAAACGGCGGCCGUAACUAUAACGGUCCUAAGGUAGCGAAAUUCCUUGUCGGGUAAGUUCCGACCCGCACGAAAGGCGUAACGAUUUGGGCACUGUCUCAACGAGAGACUCGGUGAAAUCAUAGUACCUGUGAAGAUGCAGGUUACCCGCGACAGGACGGAAAGACCCCGUGGAGCUUUACUGUAGCCUGAUAUUGAAAUUCGGCACAGCUUGUACAGGAUAGGUAGGAGCCUUUGAAACGUGAGCGCUAGCUUACGUGGAGGCGCUGGUGGGAUACUACCCUAGCUGUGUUGGCUUUCUAACCCGCACCACUUAUCGUGGUGGGAGACAGUGUCAGGCGGGCAGUUUGACUGGGGCGGUCGCCUCCUAAAAGGUAACGGAGGCGCUCAAAGGUUCCCUCAGAAUGGUUGGAAAUCAUUCAUAGAGUGUAAAGGCAUAAGGGAGCUUGACUGCGAGACCUACAAGUCGAGCAGGGUCGAAAGACGGACUUAGUGAUCCGGUGGUUCCGCAUGGAAGGGCCAUCGCUCAACGGAUAAAAGCUACCCCGGGGAUAACAGGCUUAUCUCCCCCAAGAGUUCACAUCGACGGGGAGGUUUGGCACCUCGAUGUCGGCUCAUCGCAUCCUGGGGCUGUAGUCGGUCCCAAGGGUUGGGCUGUUCGCCCAUUAAAGCGGUACGCGAGCUGGGUUCAGAACGUCGUGAGACAGUUCGGUCCCUAUCCGUCGUGGGCGUAGGAAAUUUGAGAGGAGCUGUCCUUAGUACGAGAGGACCGGGAUGGACAUACCUCUGGUGUACCAGUUGUCGUGCCAACGGCAUAGCUGGGUAGCUAUGUGUGGACGGGAUAAGUGCUGAAAGCAUCUAAGCAUGAAGCCCCCCUCAAGAUGAGAUUUCCCAACUUCGGUUAUAAGAUCCCUCAAAGAUGAUGAGGUUAAUAGGUUCGAGGUGGAAGCAUGGUGACAUGUGGAGCUGACGAAUACUAAUCGAUCGAAGACUUAAUCAA
rnacentral:rRNA from 2 species